rnacentral:snoRNA from 1 species
GAUUAUUUAGAUUUUUGAACAUUUGUAACACUUUGAAGUUUUGUACCUUCAUUGUGUUUAUUAUAUAUUUCUGUGUUGC